GCUCUCAAUGUUAUUGUUGGAGUACACUAGUGUCGCAGCUAGUUAGUUUUGUAGUAAAAUCUUCACAAUCAAAUAGCGUCGCUUUCUUCAAUAUGCGAUGACGCCAUUUGUGUUAUUUUAAUUUGUGCAGUAUUUUUUUUUCACUCGGCACUUUGUCGAGAUUCUGAUGUGACGUCAUUUUUUUCUUCUUGUACGUUUGGUGCAUUCACGCCAUCUUGCGCUACGGAGGCAACUGUAUCUUUUGAGGUCCUGAAUUUUCCAUGUGCUUUACGAUACUGGACAGCCUUAGCAUUUGUCUUGGAUAUAUUCUUAGAGGACUAUUUGACCCUUGUUUAGGAGUUUCAGUGUUGGCGUUACAUUGUGAGUUCUGGUACUACUCUGAACAUUGUUAACUUCAUCGUUGGAGAUCAUUCUUCUUGGUUGAAAGAUCCUGGAAUUAUCCUGAACGUUGUUAUAGAAAGUUGAACUGAACCUCUUACAGACUGGAGUUAGGAAAUUGAAAUAUUGUUGGCGUCAAUGUUAUUCGACAACAUACUAUAAGGUGGCUUUUUUGGUUUUUAAAUACUAUUUAAGUAUUAAAUUG